GUGCCAUAUCUGGUGGCAGAUUUUGAGCCACAGAUUCCCCAAGUGGCCUUGAGGAUGGAUUUAUAAUCUGAGGUAUAUUUAGAUUUUUUCCCCUUUCCUCUACUCCUAUGAGUAGACCAUUUAAUUUUAAGGGCAACUUCACGAUUAGCCAACAACAUUUUGAUGAUGCAACUGGUAUGAUAAAAAAUGACAAUAAUGCAAGUGAGUCACACGAAUGUUUCAAACUUGUCGAGCUGGAGAAAUUAUGAGUGAUUUUAUAUGUCAGUAAGAAUUGACUUGUUUCUUUUAGUAAAAAUGCUUUUGCUUUAAUUCUCA
rnacentral:lncRNA from 1 species